CCUACGGGUGGCAGCAGUCGGGAAUAUUGCGCAAUGGAGGAAACUCUGACGCAGUGACGCCGCGUAAAGGAAGAAGGUUUUCGGGUUGUAAACUAUUGUCGUUAGGGAAGAUAAAAGACUGUACCUAAGGAUGACGCCCCGGCUAACUAUGUGCCAGCAGCCUCGGUAAUCCAUGGGGGGCAAGCGUUAUCCGGAUUUAUUGGGUUAGAAGGGUGCGUAGGGGGAAUGCAAAGUCCGCGGUAAAAUCGCGGGGGUCAAACUCGAUCCGCCGGUGAAACUUGCGUUCUUGAGUGGGCGAGAAGUAGGCAGAAGGCGUGGUGUAGCGGUGAAAUGCAUAGAUAUCACGCAGAACUCCGAUUGCGAAGGCAGCAUACCGGGGACCAACUGACGCUGAAGCACGAAAGCGUGGGUAUCGAACAGGAUUAGAUACCCCUGUAGUC
rnacentral:rRNA from 1 species